GGUUCUAUGGUGUAAUGGGUAGCACACUGGACUCUGAAUCCAGCAAUCUGAGUUCGAAUCUUGGUAGGACAU
rnacentral:tRNA from 1 species